ensembl:lncRNA
UACAGAGUCAAUGUGGAGGCUAUAUACAGGGGGUACCGGUACAGAGUCAAUGUGGAGGCUAUAUACAGGGGGUACCGGUACAGAGUCAAUGUGGAGGCUAUAUACAGGGGGUACUGGUACAGAGUCAAUGUGGAGACUAUAUACAGGGGGUACCGGUACAGAGUCAAUGUGGAGGCUAUAUACAGGGGGUUACGGUACAGAGUCAAUGUGGAGGCUAUAUACAGGGGGUAUCGGUACAGAGUCAAUGUGGAGGCUAUAUACAGGGGGUACCGGUACAGAGUCAAUGUGGAGGCUAUAUACAGGGGGUACCGGUACAGAGUCAAUGUGGAGGCUAUAUACAGGGGGUACCGGUACAGAGUCAAUGUGGAGGCUAUAUACAGGGUGUUACGGUACAGAGUCAAUGUGGAGGCUAUAUACAGGGGGUACCGGUACAGAGUCAAUGUGGAGGCUAUAUACAGGGGGUACCGGUACAGAGUCAAUGUGGAGGCUAUAUACAGGGGGUACCGGUACAGAGUCAAUGUGGAGGCUAUAUACAGGGGGUACCGGUACAGAGUCAAUGUGGAGGCUAUAUACAGGGUGUUACGGUACAGAGUCAAUGUGGAGGCUAUAUACAGG